GUCGAGCGGUAACAGAAAGUAGCUUGCUACUUUGCUGACGAGCGGCGGACGGGUGAGUAAUGCUUGGGAACAUGCCUUGAGGUGGGGGACAACAGUUGGAAACGACUGCUAAUACCGCAUAAUGUCUACGGACCAAAGGGGGCUUCGGCUCUCGCCUUUAGAUUGGCCCAAGUGGGAUUAGCUAGUUGGUGAGGUAAUGGCUCACCAAGGCGACGAUCCCUAGCUGGUUUGAGAGGAUGAUCAGCCACACUGGGACUGAGACACGGCCCAGACUCCUACGGGAGGCAGCAGUGGGGAAUAUUGCACAAUGGGCGCAAGCCUGAUGCAGCCAUGCCGCGUGUGUGAAGAAGGCCUUCGGGUUGUAAAGCACUUUCAGUCAGGAGGAAAGCGUGGUGGUUAAUACCCAUCAGGUGUGACGUUACUGACAGAAGAAGCACCGGCUAACUCCGUGCCAGCAGCCGCGGUAAUACGGAGGGUGCGAGCGUUAAUCGGAAUUACUGGGCGUAAAGCGUACGCAGGCGGUUUGUUAAGCGAGAUGUGAAAGCCCCGGGCUCAACCUGGGAACUGCAUUUCGAACUGGCAAACUAGAGUGUGAUAGAGGGUGGUAGAAUUUCAGGUGUAGCGGUGAAAUGCGUAGAGAUCUGAAGGAAUACCGAUGGCGAAGGCAGCCACCUGGGUCAACACUGACGCUCAUGUACGAAAGCGUGGGGAGCAAACGGGAUUAGAUACCCCGGUAGUCCACGCCGUAAACGAUGUCUACUAGAAGCUCGGAGCCUCGGUUCUGUUUUUCAAAGCUAACGCAUUAAGUAGACCGCCUGGGGAGUACGGCCGCAAGGUUAAAACUCAGAUGAAUUGACGGGGGCCCGCACAAGCGGUGGAGCAUGUGGUUUAAUUCGAUGCAACGCGAAGAACCUUACCUACACUUGACAUACAGAGAACUUACCAGAGAUGGUUUGGUGCCUUCGGGAACUCUGAUACAGGUGCUGCAUGGCUGUCGUCAGCUCA
rnacentral:rRNA from 1 species